GACGAACGCUGGCGGCGUGCUUAACACAUGCAAGUCGAACGGAAAGGCCCUGCUUUUGUGGGGUGCUCGAGUGGCGAACGGGUGAGUAACACGUGAGUAACCUGCCCUUGACUUUGGGAUAACUUCAGGAAACUGGGGCUAAUACCGGAUAGGAGCUCCUGCUGCAUGGUGGGGGUUGGAAAGUUUCGGCGGUUGGGGAUGGGCUCGCGGCUUAUCAGCUUGUUGGUGGGGUAGUGGCUUACCAAGGCUUUGACGGGUAGCCGGCCUGAGAGGGUGACCGGCCACAUUGGGACUGAGAUACGGCCCAGACUCCUACGGGAGGCAGCAGUGGGGAAUAUUGCACAAUGGGCGGAAGCCUGAUGCAGCAACGCCGCGUGCGGGAUGACGGCCUUCGGGCUGUAAACCGCUUUCGCCUGUGACGAAGCGUGAGUGACGGUAAUGGGUAAAGAAGCACCGGCUAACUACGUG
rnacentral:rRNA from 1 species